UGCACGCCAGCAGGGUGACGGCCCACGGUGGGAGGCUACUCAGAGACAACAUCUGGUGCCCAAUCCACGUGGAAAGGCCGGAGCUCUGCAGGAGACAAGCACCCUGGCCACUUCAUGACAUGCGCAUAGAUGACUGAUGACCAAAGGGCUUCAGAAUUCUCUCAUGUAGCCGUUUUUACCUUGGACCACUUCCCUUUCUUUUUUCUCAACUGACCGAGAGCUAUAAAUCCAGUGUGUGGGGACUACCUCAAUUAAUGGAGAGGAGAGGGUUCCUGAGAAGAAAGCCAGAACAAAGAGUGGAAGACAUCCAGAAGACCUGAACUGAAAGUAAAGAACAAUAUUCUUCGUUGGCUGUGCAGGGCUUGCCCUGUCACUGGAGGCGUCCUGGAGGGAAAUCUCUAUUUGGGUGGGAAGAUGGGACUCAGUGUCGCUCCAUGGCUCCUUCCAAGUGGAGGAUUCUGUGACUUUGUUACUGAUGCAGAAAGCAUUUAGGCCCACACUGAAUGGGCAGUGAAAAGUGAGCCAAGUUUAGAAUGGGUGAAUGUAGCUAGAUGAGGUAGAGGAAGAGAACAGGGAGACCCCUAACCUGCUUGAUUCUUAGGGCUGUUUAUUUCAGGAAGGGCUAACAAUCUAGGAAAAUCAACUCUUUCCCACCAGCCCCCUUUAAAAGAUCUCAUCCCGAAUCCUCCCAGUCAGGAAGUGGGGGGCAUUUACAUCUGCCUUAGCAUACAUUCUCCAAAGGGUCUCAAUAUAUGCAUAUGGAGUCCAUAUGCAUACGGACUCACAAGGUGCUGUGAGUCAUUCUGGAGCAUCUCUGGGCCCUUACACCUUACACCUAUCACCACUGUCAAAACUCCAGAAGGACAUGCCUACAAAGUCCAGUACAUCUUUUGCUUGUAGCAGUGUGGGCCCAUAAGUGAGGUGUGAAUGCCUGUGUGCCGUGACUGUGGCACAGCUGUCUGUAACUCUGUUCCCAGUAGUGCCAGCUUAGAAGGUGGGACAGGAUGUCCAUUCCUGGCUGAACUGCUUCCCUUCCCAGUGACUUGGGUGAACAUUCACCUCUCAGCGCCUUUGAAUCUUCCUUCCCGGCACCAUAAUGACUCAUUAGGUCAAGCUGCUGGAAAAACAUUGGACCCAAUAAGAACAGAUUCAAGGGUUACCUUGCUGCCAGAAGCCAGAGCAUAGCCUCCUCCCACCAGAAUGACAAUCUCCCAGGGCAUGGUCUUCUGGAAGUCCUUCCACGUGAUCAUGGGCUCCGUCCCCGGUGAGGGCUCCUGGUCUUCCCCUGGAUCACAGGUAGACAGCGAGGCAGAGCCAGAUGAACCCUAAUGGGUGUGAUUUGUGGAGACAGGGGCCUAAUUGAUGAACCAGAGGAUACUCUGCUAUUCUGGGAGGAGUUGGAAGGGCUUUGGUAAGGCUCCUCCCAAAAUUCUGACUUCGACCACUAUUUGACUAGAGCCAGCCCCAACUUCUUCUCUUGAACUCCUCUCACCAUCGU